GGUUACAUGCUCUUCGAACACGUUCAACUGUACCCGAAUGUUUAUUACCGUGUUCUGCAACCUGCGUCCGUAUCUGCUACGCCAGAGAAACGCGUUCGACUAUGAUGAAAACACAUUAACCUACCGGUGAAGCACGAUUUAUAGGAAUCGAAUAGAAUUGAUGGAAAGGAUCUGACCGGAGUGUCCUCUGCGACUCGUCCCGCCGGAAGCGGAUACACGCUUCACGAAAGACGACCACAAGUGGAACGAGCCAUGCAUGUACAGACGCAGUGGCAGUAGGUGCGCCCGUGUGUGUCAGACGGAGAACGCUUUUCUGCCGUGUAAAAAUGGACGAUAGCUGUGCUCUGUUUUUUUUUCCUUUCUCUUCUUCUUUUAAUAGCUCUUCGGUGAAAAUUAUAAAUUAUUCUUUGCGCAUCUUCACUAAAAACAAUAGAAAAAAUGUAUUUCGCUCUAAUAUUUAAUGUUCUGUUUCUUUGUUUUGUAAUACUCUUCUAGUGAGGAUUAUAAAUUAUUCUUAAGUCAUUUUUGAAUCGGAAAAGUCGAAGUUAUUGAGCAGUGAAGAUUUCACGGUAGAUCCAUCAAUGAAAACUUUCACGAACGAAAUCGAAUCGACAGCGAUCAGCGAGCUUAAUGACCCUUUUAUAAAACGUUUUAUAGCAACCAUCUAUCGAAAGUUUCCACGUUCUGCAAUCUGAAAAUGCGCUCAUGGUUUCUCUUCGAGACUUGUGUAUGAUUUAAUGGAAGAUCCCAAGAGCUAUUAUGCAACGAGGAGUCGGACCGAUGCAAUCUUCGGUAUGUAAUCAUAGUUUGAACGAUUCGCGAGUUACUGCCGCAGGACUGAUCACAUGUGUGCGUCUUUAUUGCUGAAUGUGCAGCCUACGAUCGCGUCCUCCCACCAAUGUGAGACAAAGCCUGUAAGGAUACAGGGAUAAGUAUCGUUACAUGUGCCAAGCCACAGGGAUAGUCAUAAUGUAAGCAUUGAACCGGCGACGGUGCCUGAACUGUCCAUUGUAUUCCGUAGCCGGAGUCGCAGGUUCGGCUAGCCUUGAAGCAGUGAACCUCCCAGCGCGACAAGAUGAUGCAUUGUUACAAUGCGCGGGCCUAUAGUUGCCCUUUAGGGUCACGCAGAAAAUCGCAAAGGUUAAGAGGUAUCAACGUAGGUGCAUCUAUGUAUGUACACCCCAAGAUGUAUAAAACAGCCAACAUUUGGAUUUCGAUGGCAUCAAACAAUUCCAUUUAUUCACAUUACACGCACAAAUAAAAUCAAAUAAUUGUAUCAUAAGAAAAUUGGUCGUAUGUAUGACAAAUAUAACAAAUAAAUACGCGACAACAUAUAUUAUGUAAAUACUUUAUAUAAAACACAUAAAUAAUACACAAAUGUGAAACCUUGAAGGUGGAGUCACAGGAUGCAAUUUGGGUCACACUGAGGUCACGGAACUUGACUUCCAUGUUCUCAGAACAGUACAAAUCGAAUCUAACUACCCUGAGAUUGUGGGAUCUAAGUCGAACCAUGAUUGUGGGACCUCUAUAACCUCGAGGUGGCAGAAUCCGAAUUCGAUCACCUCGAGGUCGUAUGACUCAAAUCGAAGUUAGCAGGCAUAGGCUAUCAUAACACUAUAUGUACAGAGGUCAACGGAUCUAAGUUUGACUAGUUUGGUAUAAACGAUACGAUUCUGAAGUAUUCUCGUAAUUUUGAAGGUGUUGAAGUAAAAUUCUAUAGUCCUGAAAUCUUCCCCAUUGUGUCCUACAACAACAAGAUCCCAAAUAAAUCUCGUGUC